GACGAACCGUGCGAACGUUGUUCGGAUUCACUGGGCUUAAAGGGCGCGUAGGCGGCUCGCCAAGUCGGGGGUGAAAUCUUUCGGCUCAACCGGAAAACAGCUUCCGAUACUGGCGGGCUCGAGUGGGGUAGGGGCGACUGGAACUUCCGGUGGAGCGGUGAAAUGCGUAGAUAUCGGAAGGAACGCCGGUGGCGAAAGCGAGUCGCUGGACCCCUCCUGACGCUGAGGCGCGAAAGCCAGGGGAGCGAACAGG
rnacentral:rRNA from 1 species